AAGAACUUUACUUGCAGAGGAAAGAUUAGGUGAGAGUUUGAACUGGUCAAAUCACAUGCCCACACACAGCCAUAGGCGGCCAGCUAUAUACUCACGCGACUCACACACGCACACGCCGGGGAGGGUCCCACCCGCAGGGUUGCCAAGUCACACAUGCCAAGUGGCCAGGUGUGGCAUUCUCUCCCCCUUAAGACUGAGCUUCUUCCUGUGAGCUUGGCCCCGAGUCCUCCCAAAUGGCUUCCGCAGGGAAACGCUGCCGGAGAACCUCGUAAUCUUCCCAUGUGGUGGCGGCCGGCGAGCCCUCACCCCACUGCACCUUGACUUGCAUGAUGGCAGCAUUCCCGCACUUCAUUAUGCGUCGUUCCAGCAGCUGCGUUGGUGCCGCCGACGACACGGAGAGGUCUGGCAUGCGCGACAGCUCCGCGUACACCGGCGUGUAGUCCGGCGUGAAUGGCUUGAGCUGGGAUACGUGGAAGACCGGAUGCACCUGACUCGCGGGCGGCAGGGCGAGCUUGUACGCCAUGAGGCCAAUCUUCUCGAGGACGGUGUACGGGCCGAAGAACUUGAAGGCGAGCUUGGCGCAGGGCCGGUUGACGACCAAACGCUGCGCGUAGGGCUGUAGCUUCAACAGCACUUGCUCACCGACCUGAAACUGGCGCUCGGUGCGGUUGCGAUCUGCCUGCUUCUUGAACCGGCGCUGAGCGCGCUCUAGCUGGGCGCGGAUGUGCUCCGUGUGCGCUGCCCAGUCCAUGUCUUCGCUGGCGUGCUCGUCCGCUGGCCAGGGCGGCAUUGCUCCUAGAUUGGCCUCCCUCCCAUAGAGCGCCUUGAAGGGGGUGCAGUUGAGCGAGGCAUGAAAUGUAGAGUUGUACCAGAACUCGGCCAUGGGCAGCCAGCGACGCCACUGACGCGGCGCGUCGUGCACCGCGCACCGGAGAUACAUCUCCAUGCACUGGUUCACGCGCUCGCUCUGGCCAUCCGUCUGCGGGUGGUACGCGGUGGAGUAGAGCAAUUUGGUGCCCGCUCCGGUGAACAGUUGCUUCCACAGGUUGCUGGUGAACACCUUGUCGCGGUCUGAGACGAUCGACGCAGGGAUGCCGUGGAGCAUGACCUCUUCGUCAUCGUGGGUGAACUUGACCCACUUGUCCUGCCAGUGGCACGUCAUGCGGCUGUGCUGGGCGAGCCAGUCCAUGCCGAGGAUGCCGUCGUAGGCGCCAAUGUCCAGCUCGCGCAUCGGAGUGGUGAACGUGUGCCCCUGCAUCCACCACUUGAGCUCGGGAACUAUGCGGUUGCAGGUGAGACGGUCACCGUUGGCGAUGCGCACAUCCACCUGCGGCAUCUCCUCUAUCGCCAGCCCGAGGCGAUCGACGAAGGACUUGUUGACGAAGCUGUGCGAGCUACCCGAAUCGAGUAGCAGCAACAUGACUUGGUUGCCCACCAGUGCACGCAGGCGGAUCGUGGUCGCCGAGUCCGUGCCGUCCAGAGCGUGCGACGAGAGAAGGCAGCAUACGGGCGCGUCACCAGGAGGAGGGGGCGGCUGCGCUGCUGGCCCUGGGUCAUCGAGCAGUUGCAGCGCGUGGAUGAUGUCGUCGGAGAGCACCUCCCCGUGAUCGCCGACAUUGAUGGUAAGCAGUUGGGCCAGUUGCGCGCAUCGGUGCUCUCAUGAGAAGCGGUCGCCGCACUUAAAGCAUAAGUUGUUGGCACGGCGGUAGUCGCGAAGUUGUCGUUCGCGCGCGUAGUCGUCCGUUGGAGCACGGUUCGGCGCGGCCACGCGCGGCUGUGGUGGAGUCGACACCGGUGGAGGCCGGCCCGCUGGCAUGAUGCGUGGGCGCGCGCGCAUAGUGCCCAGCUCCUCCUCCUGAAUGCGCGCCAGCACGGAUGCCCUGGUGAUGCUCGAGGGCGCUUGGAGCCGAACCGGCGCGCGUAAUUAGUCCUUCAAGCCCAGAAUGAACUGGGUGACGAAGAACUUGGUGUUGAUGGACGGGUCGAGCGCGAGCAGGUGAUACAUCUGCUCGUCGAACGCCGCGCGGUACUCGGCGACAGAGGUGGUUUGACGAAGUUGCAGCAGCUUGUGCAUGACCACCUCGAACUCGUCGGCGCCGAACUCUGCGAGCACGGCGGCGGUGAACGACUCCCAGGUGAUGCCGCAAUGUGUUUGACGAAAUGCCUGUAGGCAGUGCGCGGCCUGGCCUUCGAUAUACAGAGUUGCGCUGGCCACCCAGUUGUGUGGCGCGACCUUGUAGAGCUCGAAGUACGCCAGGUAGCGAUCCAACCACGGGUACGGCGCAGAGCUGUCAAACCGAGGGAAAUCGUGCUUCGGUGGCUUGUGGUAGUCGUUGCCGUUGUAGCCCGUUGUCGGAGAGGAAAUGGCCCCUAACGCGACGAAUCCGCCAUGAGGAGCCACCGGAAUCAACGGUGGGCGAUGGUCGCCGAGGCGUGCGUGGGCGGACGCAGGGCGGCCUAGAUCUGUGGCCAAGCGCGGUGAGUGCGGAGGCAGCGGGGGCGCCGGUGGGGGUUGUUGCAGGGCGGCGGGAUGGUGAAGCAUGGUCGUGACCGAGCCCGAUGGCGAAGCAGAGCCCUCCACCGUCUUGCGGGUUGCGUCGACGUCGGCUUGGGUCAGAUCGAUCUGCCGGGCGAGUCCACGCACAUCCUGCGAGAUCUGUGCGUUGAAGGCGGCCUGGACCUCGAUCUGCUUGUCGUGGGCCGCUUUCUGCUCAUCCAUCUUGGCGAGAAGGGACUCGAGCAUCUUGGUGAUGUUGUUGUUGCCCUCGUCCAUGGCGGCCAGCACCUGACGCGUCGCCGCAGAAGCUUUGGGGGGGCGCCGUUGCCGUGCUUGGAAGAGAUCGAACCCCGCGACGGAUUUUGGGUGUGCUUGCCAAAGCAGCACACACCGGCGCGGUGGAUGUUACCGAUCUGCAACCAACUCGACGGGGAGAAAAUUUUUGGGGCGAAUUUGGCUCUGAUUACCAACUUUAACGAACGAGGGGAGAAGGGGGUCUAGAGAGGGGGUGAGGGAAGCAUGAGAGAAACUUGGUGAGGAAGAACUUUACUUGCAGAGGAAAGAUUAGGUGAGAAUUUGAACUGGUCACAUCACAUGCCCACACACAGCCACAGGCGGCCAGCUAUAUACUCACGCGACUCACACACGCACACGCCGGGGAGGGUCCCACCCGCAGGGUUGCCAAGUCAAACAUGCCAAGUGGCAAGGUGUGACAGACUUACACACUGAAUUAGUAGUAUUCCUACCACAAAUACACAAACAAAAGUACUACUACUAGUACAGUGUGCAUAUAAAGAAAAGCAUGGGGCACAUGAAUGCCCGUCGAAUUCGCAGCCGCUCGUGGUCACCGUCGAACGUGCGUGCGUGAAGCAGCAGCGGUACACGAGGCAGAGUGUGCACCACGGAGAGGGAGAUCCAGAAUGUCCAGGCAGUGGGUUUCCGGGGUUAGGGAGACGUGAACGCGUCGUCGAGCCACGCCGGCCGCUCGCCGUCCUCCGGCUCCGGCGCGGCGUGCUGCUGCAGGACAAGGAGCGAGCGCAGCGUGUCCCGGAGGCGGUUGGCGCGCCUCCGGUGGCGGAUCCGGCGGAGCACGGCAUCCUUCUCCAGCGGCCCCGCACCGGGCCCGGGCCUGUGCAGGUACAUUCGGCUCGUGACCCGCACCACCGCCGCUGCGUCACCGUCCCCCUCGUCGUGCGCGGCUGCCGCCGGCGGAGACGAAAGGGGGCUCUUGGACAUCCUGGAGUCCAUGGCAAGACUGAUCCAACGACGAGAAGGCAAUCUAACUUGUUGAGAGAUCUCGAGAUCUUUGUGUGCAGAAUGGGUGAGCGAUGAAUGAG
rnacentral:lncRNA from 1 species